AGAUCUUCCAUUCUUGGUUUCCAUAUCAUCCAAUUAUUUCCAUUCAAACUAAUCAUGCGAGAAAUAUUACUGGCCUCCAUAUUCAAAUACAAAAAUUAAAUCACCAAAACCCCGCUCUGAUACUAGUUGAUGGGGAUAUAAAGAGGAAUAACCUUUGUAUAUGAACAAAUACUAGAAGACCAUAAUACGCAGCGGAAUUAAAU
rnacentral:lncRNA from 1 species